GAACAAUUGUUUGACAACUGCUUUUUCAGUUAAUUUCUAGGGAUGUGCAAUAACUCUGUUUUGAAGAAUCCAAACAUUCAAAUGAAAUCAUGAGGAAACUAACUUCUGUUCAAAUUUGUUUGUCUUGGUCCAACGGGAGUAGAGUUUAAGAGAGUCAGAAGACUUUUUGAUCAUGUGAUCAAAAACUAAAGAAAUGUAAAAGGUACCAAAAUGUCCUUUAAUCUUGUG
rnacentral:misc_RNA from 1 species